rnacentral:sRNA from 1 species
UGCAACCGGAUCAUAAAAGCCUAAGUAGUGUUUCCUUGUUAGAAGAUACAAAGGCAAAGCCUCAUACAGACUUUAGCUAUACCAUCAAAGCCUUGAGAAGCAAGAAGAAGCUUGGUUAGUGUUUUGGAGUCAAAUAUUACUAGAUGUCAUGUGUAUGAGUGAGUAUGACAACUAGAACCAUAACCGGAUC